GACGAACGCUGGCGGCGUGCUUAACACAUGCAAGUCGAACGGAACUCUUUGGAUCAAGACUUCGGUCAAGUGAAUUUGAGUUUAGUGGCGGACGGGUGAGUAACGCGUGAGGAACCUGCCUUUCAGAGGGGGACAACAGUUGGAAACGACUGCUAAUACCGCAUAACGUAUAGAGAUCGCAUGGUCUUUAUACCAAAGAUUUUAUCGCUGAAAGAUGGCCUCGCGUCUGAUUAGCUAGUUGGUGAGGUAACGGCCCACCAAGGCGACGAUCAGUAGCCGGACUGAGAGGUUGACCGGCCACAUUGGGACUGAGAUACGGCCCAGACUCCUACGGGAGGCAGCAGUGGGGAAUAUUGGGCAAUGGGCGCAAGCCUGACCCGGCAACGCCGCGUGAAGGAAGAAGGCUUUCGGGUUGUAAACUUCUUUUGUCCAGGGAAGAGUAGAAGACUGUACCUGGCGAAUAAGCCACGGCUAACUACGUG
rnacentral:rRNA from 1 species